rnacentral:lncRNA from 1 species
AGAAAAUCUCAAACCCGUGACAUAACCCGAGACUGAAACCAUAUUCGAACGCGAAUCGGUUCAACCCAUCAUAAAAAAGGCGACCCUUCUCUUCGCCCCGUCCCCCAUCGCUCUAUUCUACUCGUUUUCUCUUUCCCCGUACACUCGUCUCUCCCUCUAUCUCUCUCUCUCUAUCUCUCGGUUUAUAUUCAGAUCCCUUUCUCGAUCAAAUCAUCCACUGCAAGUCCUUACACCUCUAAUUUCAAUUUCCUACCUAGAUCCCUUUUUUUUGUCGGAAAAAGAGAGACCGAUUUUUCAUUGGAAUUUUUUUGUUGAUUUAAGUUCAGUUGCCUCUCGUGAGUGUUCUUUUUUCUUUAAUUGGAUUUUGGUACGUCUAAAAUUUGAGUUUGUCACAACGGAGCUCAAAUUCAUAAUAUAUCUGGAUUGAUUUAAUUUGGUUUAUUAGAUUGAUUAAAAAAUUGAUUCUAUUAGUAUUUAUUAUUUGAGAGUCGGGUGAUUUCAAUUGUUAAAAUGUGCGUGAAAUUUUUUGGUCCUGGAUUAUUAGUUUUAAGGAUUUGACUUUGGAUUGGAUUGGAUUGGGUUGAGUUGGGUUGGGUUGGUAAAAGUGGGUUUUAUUCGAAAGUUAAGGAUUGGACUUUGAAUUCUGGAUUUUUUGAUUUUUUCGUUGUUAGAUUUAAAAAUUGCCACGUUGAUCUUAUAAUCAUUGAGGUGGAUGUUGAAACAAUGUUAGUUUGCCAUUACACGUCAAUUGGAAUUAGGCUAUAUUAAUUUGGUCCUAGUUUGUUUUAAGAUAUAUGCAAGUAUUAUUGUUCAAGUACUGUAAAACUAAUUAUUUGAUAUUCAAGUUUUUCAAGCAACCAUGAGCGAUGAAGGAGAAAAGACUUGCCCCCUCUGCGCUGAGGAGAUGGAUUUGACUGAUCAGCAAUUGAAGCCUUGCAAGUGUGGCUAUGAUGUAAUUACUUCUUCUCUUUUGUCAUAUUUUACUGCCUUAAAUUACCAAAAACUCAAUGUUUCUGGAAGAAUCUACAACUGCCCACUGUGCCCCAUUUUGGAAUUGUAUAUAAUUCAACAUCCUAUGCCAAUAGCACAAAAAGUCUAAUGGUAAUCACAUUAAAAUUGUGAACCUGGGAUUAGUAUAUCCUAGGUUCAAGUCCCAUUAGCAUAUGUUCAAUUUGUUACCUGGAGACAAAUAAGGACACAACAAGAAGAUAGAGAGCCGUAUUGUUGUUUUUAGGACUUAUUCGUGUCAGACAACCGUCAUUUUUUUAUGCAUCAUUUCUAUGCUUCGUAGCUUCAGAUUUUACACCGUCUGAUUUCAGCAUAACAGAGACUUUAUGCCAUCUAAAUAGGAUAAGAAUGGAAGCUCUUUGGUAUCAUCUUUAAUAUAUCAAAAUGAAUGUUGAAGCUUUAAUGAAGUUGGUUAUGCCUGAAAAGGCCUAAACAUAAUGAACUUUUUUUAACGUCAUGACACGAACUACUUCUAAGUACAUAUAGACGUGCUAUGAACAAUAGCUUUCUUAUUUUUAUCUCCUGUUUCUUUGACCUAGUGAAUGGAGAAUAGGCUGAUGUUGUCUAGUUCUAAAUCCAGCGACAAGAAAUGCCCCAGUAAAAGUUGCUAGUAUAGGUUACGGUUCUCUAUUUGUGCAUCCAUGUGCAUGCUUUAAUGUGAUAUGUAAUCAGCAUUCCUGAACCAAAAUUUAUCUUUUGAAACAAUGCCCUCUAGGUGCAUCACCACCAACCCACACCUUCUCCAUAUUUCAAUACUGGUGCUCGGCCCUUAUUUCAUCACUCAACUCUGUCCCCCUUUCACUACUGGUGCUCUGUCCUUAUCUCAUUUCUCAACUCUGAAUUCUGUAUGAAUGAUAACUAUGACAACAUCAUUGCCAUUAAUUCUUCUCGUCCUAUGUCUUUACGGUGCGGGACUCAAUAAAAAUGAGAAAUGUGUUUGUGCAUUGUGAUGAAAAUGUUGAUUAAAUUAAGGUUAUAUAAGGCAGUAAAAGUCUCUUGUUAAUGAUUAUAGAAAUAUUUUGGGAUUGAUAUUAGCUUCUGGGAAUCUUAAUUAAGUUCUAGGAUUCUUUGUUUAGAUUGAGCGAUAAGUAUAAUAAGGUGACUUUCUAUCUGAGUUGCAAUUUCUUCAAUAUUAAAGAGUAACUGAAAUUUUGCUGAGAAUGUACACGCCUAUCAAUUAGGUAAAAAAAUUCUCUUUGAGCUAGUUCUCCAAACAACUGUUGUAGGGAAAUGGGGAUAUCCAAGAUGAUUGUUCCUUUUCCUUUUGUUCUCUUUCCAAGAGUGUCUGUUUUUGGUAAUUUCUUUUUAUUUGAGUGGUGGGUGGAUGUGGAAACCAAUUGGUUAAAAGAAAAUUGCCACUUCUCUCUCCCACUAGCACAUCUGGAAGGAAUAAUUUCAAAUUAUUGAGCAGCGAGCAGUUAGCUAGAAAUAAAGUUCAUUUCCCACCUGUUUUAACGACGUCGUUGCAGAAUGUUUUAUUCAGGAUUUUGUGGGGGAACAUAUGAUUAAUGCUCUGACCUUAUGCUUUUAUACGCACUAUUUUAGAAUAAAGAAGCCGGCUUUAAAAAUUCAUUGGAAAACUCUUAACAAGGUUGAUCGGAAGUUUCUGAAAAGAUGAACUAUGGUUUCUCUGAGCUUGCAAAAAUCCCGCUUCUAUGUUUUGAUCUGUAAUUUUAUAAACGGUCAGCCAAAAUAUUAAAUCAAAGAAAUAUAUAGUAACUGAAUAUUUGUGCCUAAAGAGAAACCCAAUUUACUGUGGAAAGAAGAUGCAGAAGUUUCUGUGCCCCCCAUUUUUUCUGCUUUCUCUCUCUCUUAGAAGAUUACACACAAUGUUGCAGCACUUGGUUAUGGUUCUAUAUGUACUUUGUGCUAGUUGUAUUGUUAAAUUGUUGAUUUUCACUCACAAUGUCCUAUACAGGGAUAUUUUCAAUUUGGUCUUGCUCAUGUAUUCAACUAUAGUUCUGCUUAUUGGAGUUCUAUAUGUUUUUGCAAUUUUACAGAUUUGUGUUUGGUGCUGGCAUCAUAUUAUGGAUAUGGCUGAGAAGGAUGAGACAGAAGGCCGGUGUCCAGCAUGCCGUGCACCUUAUAACAAGGAAAAGAUUGUUGAAACGGGAGCAAACUGUGAAAGGUAAUUCAUUAUUGGUAUUUAAGUUGACAUUUCCCAUGAAAACUCUUGCUGAUCGAUCAAGGUAAUUAAGUUGUUUUCUGCUAUCAUGAUGAUCUCCAUGAUCAUCCUAGCAGGUUGGCUUCUGAGAUGAGUUUGGAGAAAAAGUUGAAGUCACAAAAGGGAAAGAGCAAAAUGUCGGAAGGAAGGAAGCAACUUAGUAGCGUGAGAGUGGUCCAGAGGAAUCUUGUUUAUGUUGUGGGGUUGCCAGUUAAUUUAGCAGACGAAGACGUAAGUGCCUCUUCUCUCAUUUGCUCUUUCCCUUUCUUCCUCCUCUUCUCAUGGUCUCAAUACUGUUGAUUUGUUCUCAACCAGCUUCUCCAGCACAAAGAAUACUUUGGUCAGUAUGGAAAGGUGCUUAAGGUGUCUAUAUCGCGGACAGCAGCAGGUGCUAUACAACAGUUUGCAAAUAGUACGUGCAGUGUGUAAGUUCCUUCUAAUGAUUCCAAAUCAUUUUUCUUAGAAGUGUUGUAGUGUUCAAGUUCAAAUUUUGAUGAUUUUGGUGUUAAUCUCUUAUAAGUUAUGUCGGACAUUUUAUACUGAUAAUUGAAGCAUGCCCUAAAUUUCUUCGAAGUUGGUAUGAUGUAGGAUGGGUUUGGAGCCUUGGAGCAGGAUGAUUACGUAUUCCUGAUGUGUAAAUCUUGAGUUCCAUUGGAAAUGAACAUGAUGAGUCGUUUUAGUUUCAUAUGCACUAGUGUUAAAUGGAUUUUUUUAAUCCAUUUAAAUUACUUCUGCUGCAAAUGAACCUUGAAAAUGUUAUAUGCCCAAUUUUGUCUUCAUGUCGGCGAAGAAUUGACUGCAUAUCCUAUAUCUUCGUACCUUUGUCGUGUAUCUCCCUCUCAUGUAUGAUGUACUUAUUAGAGUGCAGUAUAGUUUAUAUUUCAUUUAUUCAUGAAUUAUUUUAGCUUAUUUCUGUCUUGCCUUUUUUUGUUUCUUUUGGCCUAGAUAUAUAACUUAUUCAAAGGAGGAAGAAGCAGUACGGUGCAUCCAGUCUGUACAUGGAUUCAUUUUGGAGGGUAGAUCUUUGAGGCGAGUGUAACUCUACAUAUGUGCUCUCUGUUAUUGAGUUCUUGGAUAGUUGUUUGAAGUUUCAUGUUGCAGGGCAUGCUUUGGAACGACUAAAUACUGUCAUGCAUGGCUGAGAAAUGUGGUAUGAUCUAUGAAUCAUUUCUAAAUCAAGAUCUGCAUACUGGUUAUUGGAUCUUUCCAUAUUACAUAUAUAGUCAAAUAUGUACCUGUGGCAUAUUGGUGUCACACAGUGUCUCAUAACAAAAUAUUUAUUUUUUUGUCCAGCCGUGCAGCAACCCUGAUUGCCUAUAUUUGCAUGAGAUUGGUUCACAAGAGGAUAGUUUUACCAAGGACGAAAUAAUAUCCGCUUACACAAGGUAUUUUUAUAUCAGUAUGCAGCCUAUUAUAUAUUUUCCUUUUUCAUUUUAUUCUUUUUAUAUCUGUGAUGAAAGUAGUAAAUGCUUCAUGUUGCCCUUUGGACUCAACCUAGUAAAUACUUAAUGUUGCGCUUUAGACUCAACCUUUAAGUCUUUUAUUCAGCAUCUGCUUGUUGCUUGACAAUCAAACAUCGUGCAGUUAUCGAUUUAGUUGAUUUAUUUAUGGAAGAUUCCGCUUCCUAUGAAGCCAAUUAUGGCGUUUUUUAGUUAAAAAGAGCUGUUCCAGUGCUUCGAGAAGUUUCUUUGUUGUCUUAAAUGGGUGACUUUUCUUGGAGCUUAUCUUCAAGUUGGAAACUUGAUUUCUCUGUGCGGAUGAAAAUUAUGGUUUUGCCUUCUCUAUUUGGAGUUUCUUAAUAUUGUUGGGGUGUGUUGUUUUGUUAAUCUAAGGUGGAUGUUUGACAAAGCUUUUAAGUGCUUAUAAACUAGAUAAACAUAAUUUUAACCACACAUUCCUUAGGAUCCACAACUUUUAUUUAGUUUUAAACCAUACGUUCUUUGGGACCACUGCUUAUAAGCACUUGAAAGCUUAGCCAAGCAAGCAUUUAAUCUGGAGUUUUUAAUUCUUUUUUUUUCUUGUAGCAGGGGGAGGGAGGGGGUGUUUAUGUUAUUUUUAUAUGAACAAGUAUAUGAAAGAGAUGCAUUCUGUCAUAUUAGUUUUGUGGUUUCUUUUUCUCCUAGUCAAUUUUUUUUUUUUGAUUGUUGAAACUUGUGAUUGCAGUGGUUUCCUCUAUAUCUACAAUUGUAGAAUAAUUAUCAUGUUCAGCUUUUUGUUGGUUAUUGUGACAAUUCGGGAAGUAGAUUAACUUAGCUAACGAUUUUAAAGUAGAGUACAACAAAUUACUGGUGCUACAAAUAGUGUGCAACGGCAUUCAGGAAAUGUGUUACCAGCACCAGCAGAUGAUUACUGCAUUAGUAGCCAUUUUUCUUCCGGGAAGCCUUCAAGUAAAACUGCUACACAGACAAAUGUAAGUUUUUCUUUACCCCUAACCACAUUUUUUUUUUCACAAACUUUCACUAUGUGAAGAGUCUUUAAAAUACUGUGGAAAUAUAAUAGUAGUUGUUUGUCAGACAAACAUCUGUCACAAAACUAUUAUACGGUACUGCGCUGUGGAAUUUUAGCUUGUAUUACAUGUGGCAAUUGUGAUCUUGGCAGUGAUUACUGCUGAAAUAUCUGGAUUGCUUUUUUCUUGCUAACAAAAAUUUUCUCGCCGUGCAGAAUUCGGUGAACAGCAUUAGAGUUUCUCCACCAAAUAGCAGCUCUGGUAGAUCUGCUGCUCUACCUGCUGGAGCCUCAUGGUAUGUCAAUUACUGAUCUGUUGUCUCUUUCAAUUUGUAUGUCACUAUUUCUCAGCAUUCAAUUUGCCUUCACUAGGGGGAUUCGUUCUUCCAAUAAUCAACCCUUGUCCACAAGUAUACCAUGUUCCAAUGGACUACAUAAGCAUAAACCUAAUGCCUGUAAUGGACCGGUGACGUUUUCUACUGCAGUUGCUAGCUCUAGUCAGGUUUCUUCGUUGCAUAGUGACUCUGGAAAGAAGCUGGUUCCUAGUGAAGAAAGCAACACAAGUCUAGACAAAAGCAAACUGGAAGCCAUAGAACAUGUGAAAAAGGAUUCUAGCACAGAUAGCAGAACUAUUUUGAGUAGUUCCUCCUCGUCUGUACUUUCUGUUACUUCAACAAUAAACAGGCAACACGGUCAACCUACAUCCAAGGACAAAGAUGGAGAUGCCAGCAUGCUACCCUGUACCAACAACUCAGUUAAUCAAUACCUAAAGUCUUGUGGUCCUGAUUCAGACACAGAUUCCAAUGAUUCUGCAGAUGGAAAAAUUGAAAAUUUAUGCUCUGAAAUUUUUUCUAUGAGCAUUGAUAGACAUCAACAGUUGCAGAAUGGCUAUGCUGAGCACAUUGGAGAACCAUUGAUAUCGCAGACCUCUGGAAUAUCUGCAUUACCAGUUGAUGAGGAUUAUGCCUCAAAUCGUCUCUCUCCGUUGAAAUUGGAAACACACAUGCAAGUCUCGCAAGUUGACUCGCUUCAGAUGGAAGAUAAUCUAUUAUCUUUUGAUAAACAAAGACUCAAGGAUCCAGAGUUUGCUUCUAGCAGAAACAGUAUACCAGAUUCUUCUCACUCUACUCAUCUUUCAAGACAUUCUAAUAUUCAUUCUCCAACACAAAAUAAUUCUGACGCUUCAGUCAGGGUCAAUGUUGAUAGGCAAAUUGUACAUACAAAAGACAAUUUGAUAGUAUCAGCUUCUAGUAAUUCUGUUAUGUCAAAUAAACAUCCUGACAAUGAAUUCAGUAGUUCUUCUGAUCCAGUGAAUGAUGUUGAACAUAUUUAUUUGUUUCCAAUUAAUAAGGAUAAAAAUUCAGUUCUGGGAAGAUUCAAAGGUGAAGCAGCCUGUCACAGUCAUCCUGCUGCUGUUGAUACGGGGGAAAGCAGCAUAAUAUCAGAUAUUUUGUCGAUGGACUCUUAUUCAUGGGAUGACUCGAUACGUUCACCUCAGAACCUGGCAAAAUUGUUUGGUGAAACUGAUGAACGACAAGGGCCUUUCGGAGUACCUAGUUCGCGGAAAAUCCAGAAUAGCAAUCAAUCGAGGUUUUCUUUUGCUAGAGAGGAGGAACGUAUGAACCGAGCAUCUGACUUUGGACUAGCUAUCAAUUAUGUUGAACAAUCUCUUAAGGACCGCCCAUUUGGCAAUGAUUUCACAAACAGCAACAGCUUUCAUCUUGAAAAGUUUGGUUCUCACAAUAGGCUAUCUUUAUUUAAUGGUGUGGAGUCAGAUAAUUUUGCCAGCAGUCAUUCUUACAUCUCUUCUAACAAGGUUCCUGGUGAGUUGCGAUUUAUACGAAUUUCAAUGAAGUUUAUUCAUAGUUUGUUGUUGACUUGGCGGGGUUGUAAGUUUCUUUUUAUUUCUCGGAUAUAUUAGUAACCUUGUCAUGGAAAUUGACACUUGCGAAGUAUACAUGUUCAAUUUAGUUCUUUCUUGAUCAAAAUAUUCUUGUGCCUCAUGAGAAACCUAGGGAUAUUUUCAAUUUGUGUUUUCCAUCUGAUGGAAUUUAUUCUUAUGUAGCUUUCUAUUUUUCUCUCUCAAAACAUUUUUUCUGGGUGCCUUUGAACAGUUUCAAGAUCUCAAGUUUCUGCCCCCCCGGGUUUCUCAGUGCCUAGUAGGGUACCACCUCCCGGUUUUAUUUCUCACGAGAAGACAGGGCGGAUAUUCGACCCACACUCUGGUCCGUUAAUUUAUGCUAGGCACUUAAUAUUUUCGGACUUUUACUUCAUGUUAAAAAUCUUGUGUUUGGUUUUGAAUUAUCAUUUUAUUCUGUCUUGUGCAGGAAAUUAUAUGCCCGAUGCUUCGCUUUUGCCAAGAAAUCAGUAUCAGGCAUCCCCAAGUGGUGAUUCUAUUAGUAAUGCCGAAAUUGAGUUUAUGGAUCCUGCAAUUUUGGCAGUUGGCAAAGGGAUACUUCCUGGUAGCCUAAACAGCUCAGGCUUGGGUGCAAGAUUAAGUUAUUCUCCGCAGUAUAGUACGCUUGAAGAAUUAAGAUUCCAGUCCUUGUUACAAAGAUCAGUUCCUACUCAUCAAAACCAGAGAUUUACAGACCCGGGUGACAGUUAUUCUCCCCUUGGCGAUGCUUAUGGAGUUCCUUCUAGGGUGCUAGAGCAAACCCUAACCAACAACCUGUCCCCAUUUUCCCAGUUCACUCUUCCUCAGCCUAGAAAUGCUGUAACAUCCAAUGGCCAAUGGGAUGGGUGGAAUACGGUGCAGGGUGAGAAUGCUUUAGGUAUGGCAGAACUACUCAGAAAUGAGAGAUUGGGACUUCCUAAGUACUACAAUGGUUAUGAAGAUUCAAAUACCCGCUUGCCAAAUUCUGGAAACCUAUAUAAUCGGGCUAAUGGGAUUUAAAUUUGGUUGGAGACUUAUAUGGCACUGUUGGUACUGAUAGUGUCAAUGGUAAAAUAGGAAAAAUCUUGUGCGAAUUAGAGAAUGCCUGCUUUAAGGACUUCAAUGUUUGGCAAUCGGAUGACCUGAUCACUUGCAUUGACUAAACGGACCUAGGCAUGGAAUGCCCGAAAUAUUUGUGUUCGAGGACAUUAGAGUGAUUCACGAGUAGUCUGAUGGCACUGCUUUUAAGUUGGUGGAGGAUCAAGCCCUUUCAACAGGGAGUCCCAAACCAACAGGUAAAAUAUUGGCUCUCUUUAAUAUGGUUUAUGUUGUUGAUUCGUGAACGAGGCUGUUGUGCAUGUAUAUCACGGGAAAUAAUAAAUGGAGUAGAGUAUUAAAAAAGUAGAUUAGAGGCUUAAUGGUCACUCAUGUAUGUCAUUAGAAAGAUGAAUGUUACUAAUCUAGUUCAGAAAAGAAAGAACAGUGAGCUUGUUGUACCAUCAGACACUUCUUUCCGUAAAACAAACUUCUGUAUUAGACUCAGAUUUCUCACUAACUGUUUUUCCCCCCUUCGUCCUCUUCGUAUCUUUCGGCUCUUGGUAAGAUGAAAGAAUCGUUUUGAAGAAGAUACAAACUUUGCGAUCCUAAUCCUUUUUAUACUUGAAAAACACAAAGUAACUUCACCUUUCCCUCGUCCUAUUGUACAUCUCAAUUUCCAUGGAACUUACGGAAUAAUGGAGUUUUGAGAUGUUAAUCUGGACAUGAAUAGACUGCUACUGCUACUACUAUUAUUAUUUGCACACUGCUCAUUUUGUUCAUAGCCUUUCACCCUCAUAUUUUCAGGUAAAGGGUGCUUGAGAUUCAGGCCUAAUGUGAUGGUCAUGCAAGCAAUGUUGUGCACGAUGAAAUCAGCUUGUGAUCUUUUCUUUCGUAAUGCUAAAGCUUGUUAGUUUGUUUGAAGUUGUUCUACAGAGGUGAUCGAAAAUACUUUCUUUCACAGUGGUGAAAAUUGAUUUGUGUGUAGGCAAAAAUUCGAAAAUGGGAAGUUUAUAGUUUUGUUUUUGCUUAUUUACUUGAGAGUAUGAUCGAGAUCGUUUUCACAAAAUUCAAUGAAUUCACAUGCUGGUGAAAAAUCUGUAGCUGAAUCAACGUGGAAAUAGUGAAAUGGACGAGUACCAAAAAAUGGUUGGAGGAAAAUAUGUAAUUAUAAAAUGCCAUAAUAAAGCGUGUUUUUGAGAAUGCAGUAA